GAUGAAGAACGUAGCGAAAUGCGAAAAGUAAUGUGAAUUGCAGAAUUCAGUGAAUCAUCGAAUCUUUGAACGCACAUUGCGCCCCUUGGUAUUCCGAGGGGCAUGCCUGUUCGAGCGUCAUUAUAACCCCUCAAGCUCAGCUUGGUGUUGGGGCCUGCUGCACUGGCAGCCCUUAAAAUCAGUGGCGGCGCCAUCUGGCUCUAAGCGUAGUAAUUCUUCUCGCUAUGGAGUCCUGGUGGAUGCUUGCCAUCAACCCCCAAUUUUUCUAUGGUUGACCUCGGAUCAGGUAGGGAUACCCGCUGAACUUAAGCAUAUCAAUAAGCGGAGGA
rnacentral:misc_RNA from 1 species